UUAUCCAUGUACUUUUAAUAAACUGCAAGAAAAUUAGAUUCAUGGAAUACUGUUAAAUGACUGGGAAGUAACCAGGAAAGACACAACAAACAUUGUUAAUUCUAAGUUUCAAAGGAGGAUUAAUGAAGAGCAGUGCUCUCUUGCUUGGUCUACCCCACAACCAAAGUCAAAGGGCGGAUGGUAGAGAUUAUCAGACUCGUACAACCUCAAGGCACAGAGCCUACCACCUUUAUCUGACCCUGUACCUGCCAGCCCUAAAGCCAUAUUCCUUUUUCUGAGUGGUUAAGUGGAACACUGAGAUCCAGAGUCCAACUUGUGAUCCUGGCAUCCCCCCACACCCCAACAAACAGUGGAUCAUGGGAGUGGCCAGG
rnacentral:lncRNA from 1 species